rnacentral:lncRNA from 1 species
UUCCCUAAAAUUUAACUAAUAAUUAUAAUCAUAUAUAUAAAAUGAAUAAUUGAAAGUGGUUUGGGUUAGAGUGUAACUGGUCGGUUUAGUUUAACCUUUUGAAAGAAAAAAAAUUGGACUAAUAAAAAAUAGUCAUUGCAUUUUUUGUAAGUUUUUCUUGCGAAAUUUGAACCAAACAAAAUCAAUUUGGUUCAAUUCAAUUAGGUUGAAAUUUGUCAAAGCAACAAAUCAAUAAAAAAAACAUAAAAAACAUGUUAGAUGUUUUCUCUCCCGACCCUUCGUGUUACUUUUA